rnacentral:lncRNA from 7 species
GGAUUACCCGGCGUGCCCCGCGGCAACAUGGCGGCCUGAAAUUCAGAGAAAGAAAUGGGAAAAGUGUCAACUUAAGAGGAAGCGAUGAAUCCCUGUUGAAGCAUCAGAUAGCAGGUUCCCAGGUGUAUCUGGAACGGCUGUAACAGAAUUCAGUGUCGUCGAAGCUCCAGCUGGAUGAGGAGAGCUGUAUUACUGUGCAACUCUGGAGAUGAUUUACUGUCCGCCUGACGACUUGCAAUAUAAACAUUAGUCCAAGCAUGAUCUUGUCCCAAAACCCCGCCUAUGCAGGGAGCCAGGAGUCUUCCUGCCACGCGCCAUAAAUCGUUUACAGUUUGCUCAUUCCCAUGCAUUUGAAAAACAGCUGUGCAUGGGGGAUUAGCAGUUUGCAGAAGGCCCGUGCGGGGCUAAAUUAGGGUCUCUUGCUCUGGUGGUGAAUACUGGUAAUGGAAUAGCCGGAGUGCUUCUCUGCAGCAGGAGGCAAUUUGCUCUGGGAACGGGGGGUCAGCGCUGGGGGUACAGCAGCCUGGGGGGAGAGUGCUGUAUUGCAGUGCUCCAGUGGGAGCUCGAGUGCCUGACUGGUGGUUGCCCAGCGUGGUGAGGGAUUGAAAAAUCAUUGUAAGCUGUGGGGGUUUUGUUUUAGUUAUAUAUUUAUAUAUACGAACACACACACGCAAUAAAUAUAACUUAUUUAUC